AUUGAACGCUGGCGGCAUGCUUUACACAUGCAAGUCGAACGGCAGCGCGGGCUUCGGCCUGGCGGCGAGUGGCGAACGGGUGAGUAAUAUAUCGGAACGUACCCAAGAGUGGGGAUAACGUAGCGAAAGUUACGCUAAUACCGCAUACGAUCUAAGGAUGAAAGCAGGGGAUCGCAAGACCUUGUGCUCCUGGAGCGGCCGAUAUCUGAUUAGCUAGUUGGUGGGGUAAAGGCCCACCAAGGCAACGAUCAGUAGCUGGUCUGAGAGGACGACCAGCCACACUGGAACUGAGACACGGUCCAGACUCCUACGGGAGGCAGCAGUGGGGAAUUUUGGACAAUGGGGGCAACCCUGAUCCAGCAAUGCCGCGUGAGUGAAGAAGGCCU
rnacentral:rRNA from 1 species